AUGGCUCAGGAUGAACGCUAGCUACAGGCUUAACACAUGCAAGUCGAGGGUAGCAGGUAGCAAUACCGCUGACGACCGGCGCACGGGUGAGUAACACGUAUCCAACCUUCCCAUAACUCAGGGAUAGCCUUUCGAAAGAAAGAUUAAUACCUGAUAGUAACUUUUUCAAGGCAUCUUGAAAAAGUUAAAGAUUUAUUGGUUAUGGAUGGGGAUGCGUUCCAUUAGAUAGUUGGUGAGGUAACGGCUCACCAAGUCUUCGAUGGAUAGGGGUUCUGAGAGGAAGGUCCCCCACAUUGGUACUGAGACACGGACCAAACUCCUACGGGAGGCAGCAGUGAGGAAUAUUGGUCAAUGGGCGAGAGCCUGAACCAGCCAAGUAGCGUGAAGGAAUGAAGGUCCUAUGGAUUGUAAACUUCUUUUAUAGUAGAAUAAAGUGAUCCACGUGUGGAUUUUUGUAUGUAUACUAUGAAUAAGGAUCGGCUAACUCCGUGCCAGCCGCCGC
rnacentral:rRNA from 1 species